GGGUUGUGAGGUUAAGCGACUAAGCGUACACGGUGGAUGCCCUGGCAGUCAGAGGCGAUGAAGGACGUGCUAAUCUGCGAUAAGCGCCGGUAAGGUGAUAUGAACCGUUAUAACCGGCGAUUUCCGAAUGGGGAAACCCAGUGUGACUCGUCACACUAUCAUUAACUGAAUCCAUAGGUUAAUGAGGCGAACCGGGGGAACUGAAACAUCUAAGUACCCCGAGGAAAAGAAAUCAACCGAGAUUCCCCCAGUAGCGGCGAGCGAACGGGGAGGAGCCCAGAGCCUGAAUCAGCAUAUGUGUUAGUGGAAGCGUCUGGAAAGGCGCGCGAUACAGGGUGACAGCCCCGUACACAAAAGCGCAUGUGCUGUGAGCUCGAUGAGUAGGGCGGGACACGUGGUAUCCUGUCUGAAUAUGGGGGGACCAUCCUCCAAGGCUAAAUACUCCUGACUGACCGAUAGUGAACCAGUACCGUGAGGGAAAGGCGAAAAGAACCCCGGCGAGGGGAGUGAAAAAGAACCUGAAACCGUGUACGUACAAGCAGUGGGAGCACCCUUUGGGGUGUGACUGCGUACCUUUUGUAUAAUGGGUCAGCGACUUAUAUUCUGUAGCAAGGUUAACCGAAUAGGGGAGCCGGAGGGAAACCGAGUCUUAAUUGGGCGUUAAGUUGCAGGGUAUAGACCCGAAACCCGGUGAUCUAGCCAUGGGCAGGUUGAAGGUUGGGUAACACUAACUGGAGGACCGAACCGACUAAUGUUGAAAAAUUAGCGGAUGACCUGUGGCUGGGGGUGAAAGGCCAAUCAAACCGGGAGAUAGCUGGUUCUCCCCGAAAGCUAUUUAGGUAGCGCCUCGUGAAUUCAUCUCCGGGGGUAGAGCACUGUUUCGGCUAGGGGGCCAUCCCGGCUUACCAACCCGAUGCAAACUGCGAAUACCGGAGAAUGUUAUCACGGGAGACACACGGCGGGUGCUAACGUCCGUCGUGAAGAGGGAAACAACCCAGACCGCCAGCUAAGGUCCCAAAGUCAUGGUUAAGUGGGAAACGAUGUGGGAAGGCCCAGACAGCCAGGAUGUUGGCUUAGAAGCAGCCAUCAUUUAAAGAAAGCGUAAUAGCUCACUGGUCGAGUCGGCCUGCGCGGAAGAUGUAACGGGGCUAAACCAUG
rnacentral:rRNA from 2 species